rnacentral:tRNA from 1 species
GGAGGGAUGCGAGAGCGGCCGAAUCGGCACGCCUGGAGUGCGUGUGUGGCGCAAGUCACCCAGGGUUCAAAUCCCUGUCCCUCCG